rnacentral:lncRNA from 1 species
AGAGCAAAGAGCUGAACGUCUUGCCCUAGGACUAAAACCUGGUGUAUUCCUGGCUACAGUUCACUUCCUUUCAAAAUAGAAUCUCCUACCACCAGUACCCCAACUGACAGAAUUAAGUAUUUCUAUUCCCUUUCUUCUGUUACUUGAAUAUAUACCUACCCUGUGGCCAUUGCAUUUAAUUUGCAGUUGUUCACUUGCAUGUCCAUCUUCCUAUGACAUUGUUACUUAAAGAGAAGGACCAGAUCUUUUCUUCUUAGUUCCCCUUAGAGUCCAGCAAAAUUCUCUGUAUGUAGUAGGUUCUUGGUAGCCAAACAGAAUGAAUAUGUGAAUGAAUGAGCAGUUUGAAUUCUUUAGGUCUGUAGCACUGAAUCAGGCUACCUGGAGUAACUCUUCUCUAGGUUCCACCUUUUCCUGACCCUGCAGACCUCAGGACAGCACACUGACUUUCACUGACAGAAGAGACAGACGUGCUCCAAAACAAAACCACCAAGACACACCACAGAAUACUUGAGAAUGUGUUCCUCUAAAAUGUCCCUGACUCCUCUUACCAGCCGUGGUCAUCAUCCUUAGCCCACAGAUCCUCGGCUAGGAGGCUGUUUGUGGCAUGAUUCCUUACUGGGUGAGAGUUGGCAGAUUGCAUCUCAACAGGGGAGCUGAGUACAAAGGAAACACGGAAGGUGGCUGCUUUCAGGAGCACCAACAUGUACCACGGAACAAAAGUUUGAGACUUGCAACUGGCUGAGCUUGUGGACAGGGUCCUUCUUCAUCUGGUGAGCAGCAUCCUUGGGUUCCGAACCUCAUUUCUAGUUAGGAAACUAGUGGUCUCAGGCAGAGAGGCCGCAGACUCUCCAGGGCCUCUAUCCCUUGGGACUCCUGCUUGACAGCUGCCUUCCUACUCUCCAGCACAGACAUCAGACUGCCAC